UUUGUCAACCCAUUUCUUUUGAAAACUGAUCAUACUGUGGGGACGAAAGUCUCUGCUUUUAACUAGAUAGCAACUUUCAGCAGUGGAUGUCUAGGCUCGCACAUCGAUGAAGAACGCUGCGAACUGCGAUACGUAAUGCGAAUUGCAGGAUUCAGUGAG
rnacentral:rRNA from 1 species